GCCGGCGCUACAGUGACAAGCGCGGCGAGUAAUUCGUCCUGUGGCUUCGCCGCGAGCAUUGGGUGCAUACCACGGUGGUGUGUUGCCGCGGGUACGCGAUACCAUGCUUCGGGAGUGCUGCUUUAUUAGUUUUUGCUUUCUGUCGCCCGCCCCGUCUCGCGUUGAGCGCCGUCGAUGCGUGUAGACGCAUCCACACCGCGAUUCGAGAGAGGGUAUACGUCCCGUCGUCGGAGUAGGGAAGGACGAAAGUGAGCUCGCAACGGAAAUACAUAAAUGCACGCUUUACUACGCGAGAAGGCACGCAGAAAGUAACCGCGAAGAAGUCGUCGGACGUGAUUAGUGCAAGCAGCAUGUAUCCUCGCAGAGUUGCCCAAGAGAUCCUCGUUAGUCGAACGGUGUUUUGGGUCUGCUUUCGUGAGCACGGAAGCAUAUGCUUAGUGCUGGCGCAAAUCACCCUGCGAGAAUGCGGUCGUGUUUGUGUGCGCAGUCGGGGUCUUGUCACACCGCACUGAUUCGUGCUUGGGGCGACGGCGUGUUUGUGUGUGUGUUGUUUUGGCUUGUCAGGUGGUCGACCUCUUGGUCCGUGCUCGAGCGUGCUUGCGUGAGGUCCAAAUGCGCACGGGAUCGACCCCUCCGUGCAGAUAGUGCGGAGACAGGGAUGGGCUGUUUCCAAGCGCAUGUGCGGCAACUCCGGGUCUCGGCGGCAGCGGCGGGGUGUUAACCGCGUGACUCAGCUCCCUCAUGUUCAUCCUGACCUGUUGACAAACAUUUGCUGUAUUCUCCACUAAUUGUAAGAAUUCUUCGACCAAAACAGUAAAUGUAGUUCUUGCUGUUCACUCCAGCAAGACGCUGCAAUUGAUAGUCUGG